UGUUCCCACAUCCACGCUCCCCACGCCCUGAGUCCCCGAGUCCACGCAGCCUGGGUCAGCUGUUCGCUGCUUCUUUCCUGUCCUUGGGCUUCGCUGAGGCGUUUUGGAAGCUUGCUGUCCCCUCUCGUCGUCUCGCUUUCCUUCAGAUGUGUUUUUCAUCCAUUCGGUGUGGAAGGGAUAUUAUGAAUAUUCAGGGAAAAGAUAGCCUGUGACCCCAACUGUCUAACUGUUUCAACGCAGCAAGCAGCAAAGUGAACACGACCUCAUUGAAGCCUCCCAGGGGGAGCUGAAGUUGACAGGAAAUGCUCUCCAGUGUGAUCUGAUGGAAUUAGGUUUGGAUUUGGGAAAGAAGUUGGAUCAAGAGUUGUUCAGACUGAGUCCCAGUGGACAGAAGUCCACCUGCCAUGUACAGUCUGAUUGGGAAGGACCAUAGAGA